rnacentral:miRNA from 1 species
CACAAAACCUUCAGCUACCCA